rnacentral:snRNA from 1 species
UUGCUAACUUUGGCAGCACAAAUACUAAAAUUGCAAUGGUAAAAGACGAUCAUGGCCCUGCCAUCAAGGGUGACAUGCAAAUUUGUGAAGCAUUCCAUAGUUUU